GUCAGCUUCUGGAGUUGCUUUCACAUCUUGAGAGGGUUGAACAAUAUCUACCCAGAAGACUAGAAAAUAUAUAUGAAUAACAGUGUUUCCUUCAAGACGCUUAACAAUACGUAUCGGUCAAAAGCAUCUAUUUGAUGAUCAUGUUUGUUCCUUCAUUGACUGAGCCAAAUGAAGCAGCCACAGGAAACCAGUGCAGAGACCAUCAGGAAAUUGUCAAAGAACAGCAAGAAGUAAAGAGGAUCGAUUCCUGGAGCCAAACAGGAUUGCAGGAAAUAACAAUAGCAAACCAGCAAAAAUUCAUGUUCCAGGGAACCCAUAUUUGAAUUCUCGCCAUUGUUCAAGCUGAAGAUGAUGAACCAUCAUUGCCUGUUUCCCUAUUCAUUAUCCUGUCAACAUCAAGAGCUGUUCCCAGAGAAGCUCUCAAAUUCACCUUUUAUUAAAGGCUACGAAUGAAUGAAAAAAAAAAAAAAAGAAACAUACCAAAUGGAAUGAGCAUCAUCUAUGCCAAAUAUUAGGUCUAAUAUUUGCUGUAGAAAUUUUACUAGGGAGAAUUUCAAAUCAAGACCAACCACUUCUUUCUCUGCUUAA